GAAAAAAUUAAAUAAUUAUUUUUUUUUUUUUUUAAGUAUAUUACGAUGCAAAACGCUAGUUCGUUUAUUAAAAUAAAUAAACAAAUAAAUAAAUAAAUAAUAAAUGGUCACACGGCUUAAGUUAAAGGUAAGAAAACAUCAUGCUUCCACCGUCAGCACUUAUAUACAAAAACCGCACCUGUUUUCGUUAUUUGUGCCGCUCUGGUUCUGUACUCGGGACGGCCGAGGCUCGGGAUUGGCCUGUCGCAAUUUGGGAACCACCCAUUCCUUUAUGAAACCCACAGCUCCGUUAAGCUUCCUAUUUUUGAAUAAACAAAGUAAACCAAGCCAGCCAACAAAAGGAUAAACAACAAACAAGACGGCACCAGACAAGACAAAAUUAUGACUAAGAAGGGCACAUUUUUUAAAAAUACAAAGCGGAAUUUAAAUAUUCCCUGCCGCUACUUAAAUUCUUAUCACUACCGCUAAUGUUAUUUCUAGUCACGGCAGUCGGAUCCAACUUUCACUCACUCACUCACACACACUCGGUCCAUAACCACCCGUUUAGCACCAUUUCUGCUUAAAGAUUCUCCGAGCGCUACACCAAAUCAUUCUGUGCCGGUCGAAAGACUAAGCUAUGGCCAAAUAGCGAAAAUACGAUUGUUAACUGUGUGGUGACAGAAAAUCUUGCUACCCGAAAUGAAGGCGCGCCUUCGUCUAUCUACACGCAUCCUUAUGGCUGGCCUAAAACAUCGGUCGAUCAAAAACGCUAAGCCGGUAAGUGGAGGUCUAACGUCCCACCUUCCGACUAAGAUAUAACGACAUGGGCAGCCACUCUCCGCCGAAUAAUUGGCGCGGUAUUAUUCUAGUUGUGGAAAUACGGGAAGGACACGUAAAUAGCCAGCCCAGAAAAUAGCUUUUUUAAAAUUCUUCGGUCGGGCUAUUGUUAAACAAUGCGUAAAGCCGCCGACACCCUUACCUACGGGCUGUAGGCAGCCGCCACUUCCGGAGAAAACACCGUCCGUAUUGGUAACUACCAAAUACCUAGUGGAGUGGGCCGGAGCUAUUCUUAAAAUUUAUAGACGGUUAGUGCCACCCAUGGCCAAAGCUUCCACCUUAAUGCCGCCCGUUCAAAAAAGACGGUGGAGGUCGACUGGCCCCCAGCCCGUACCGGUUACUAUUUGUUGGAAAUUUACUAUAGUACGGGUGGCCAGUGUGGUCUAGCGCCGUAGAUGGCCCCGGCCCCACACUAUCAUUAAAUAAAAUACGGCCCGGGCCCGUAUCUAGGCGGAGAAUGGGCUAGCCCGGGCCGCUCUCUCUCUAGUCUCCAGUACCAGACGUAUAAUAGAUGUUAGGACGAGCACCGGGUCGGGCGAAUUUAAAAGUAUUUCGGGAGGGCCAACGACGGUCUUUACGGGAGCCUGCCGUAUUUAACUGAUGGCCAAACACUUAGGCUACGGUAUAUAGCCGAGUUUUUCCAACAUUUUUGGCCGACCGACCGUUGCCAGUUGGACAAAGGCUCCGCCUAACCUAGGCCAGCGUGGGUAAAAAGCCGGGGUGACUUAAUAAGACCUUAGCUAUAAGGAAGAAUCAUCUAGGACAUUCUAAAUGGUAACAAGAAUGGCCUCUCAGCCAUACUGUCUUUGUUUCGCCAUUUUCCAAAGCGUUAUUUUACUUCAGAGAUUUUCGUUGGUUCGGCAGUCGGAAAUCCCCCGUGUACGCUAUGCGAGACGCAGUUGGUCGUUCCCCAAGCUGUAAUAAGGGAAUUUUCCGACGUAGGCCGAGCAUCCUGUGUACCGGCUUUGGUAAUAUAUUUUCGACCGGGCGCGUUUUGUAUUUUUGGAGAGUAGCGAGAAACAGCCCGCCAGAUACCGAGGGAAAAUCGUCUUUUAUAGCUAGCUUUCGAGACGCUUCUGCCCGGACCGACAAAACAUUAACGGCCGAAUUCGACAACUUUUCAUUUUUGCCGGUGGUUAAACGCUAUCCGCCACUCCUCUCUGGGAGACCGACCACACCGCGGAUAAACGAGACCCGGGCCCCUAGUCUCGACUUUUUCGUGUUGUACUCGAACGCGCAUCAGCCAACGCACUCGUGUCACUUCUACUCACAAGUUUGGUAAUCUCGAGUUGCAACCGUUACACCAACGCGACGUGUCAGAGGAAAUACGUCAUUCUCGCAAAAGCUGGACUCGAUCGGGCAUCCGAGAUGGUGGCUAUGGCGAAUGAACCAGGUGGUAAUUAGAAUCGUUAUUUCAGUUUCGCGUGGCAAAAUUUCACGAUAAGCACAUUUGAAACAAAAAAUCAGAGAAGCAAAAGUAAGUGUUAGUGUCUUAUGUCGAACCAAAUGGAAACUGGCUG
rnacentral:lncRNA from 1 species